ensembl:lncRNA
UGGCACCGCAAAGCAUAAUUUCCUAGGACCUCAUACUCAUGGCAUGCUAAGUCACACUGAUUCCUGUUCUAGGUGUGCAGAGAUGUGUCAAGUUUUGAAGACACAGAGGAUCCUAAUAAAUACCCACAAAACAGCUGUUCCUCAGAAAGUGCUAUAAGUAGAUAUAAGAAGCACUGAGAUACUCUGGAAAAAAUAAAUUGUAUCCUAAGGCAGUGAUGCUUCAAACAUGUGCUGAAGCCCAUAAAAAUAAGUUAAAGGCUGUGUUGACAGACAGGAUGAAGGAAAAAUCUGUUUCUGGGAUUAGUAGUUACAAAAAGUCUUCCAGAUCCUGGAGUAAUCAUAGGAUGAAAUUUCCAGAUGGCUCACCAGGAUCAUAUAAGACCAUGCAAGAAACACACAUUCCUAAAGUUAUCAGGCACAGCAGAUCUUCUGGAUAAAUGGUAUCUCAAGGAUACUCCUGAGAAUCGUCACAUGAAGGUGGCACCCAAAGUCUUCUCCAAAUGAGGAUCAGCUUCUCCCAGACUGGUCCAAAUUUCCUCACCUUCCAGGAAGCAGGAGGAGUGAAAACUGCUUCUUGCCCUGCACGUCAGCCAGGUCAGCAGCCCUCAGCGUGGGCAAACCCACACCAGUGUGGACAUACUGAGGAUCUGUUUGGGGCACUGCUGUAAUUUGGCCCCAGUGAGGAACUGGUGUAUGAUUGUGAGAUGCCCCAAACCAUCUCACUUCUGCCCUGCUGCCAGCUGGGUUCAUCUGCUUUUAUGAGGGUGAAGACACUUGGUAAGCUCAAAACAAAGCACAAAGUGCCAUCAGGGAGCUCCCCCUCCCACAGGGAGCUGGAAAGACAGAACGCCUUCAGCUGUGAUCUUCCUCAGGUUUAAGUGUGAAACUCAGGCAUUAGAGCAAGUGAAACCUGGCAGGAGCCAUGAAAAGCAAGCUGGACACCUCCCCCAGAGCAGCACCGGAGCCUUUCCAGGGCCAGCCCAGGCUGAUGGGCGGCUCCAGCAGCGCUUCCCCGCUCCCAGCGCUGGAAAAGGCGGCUUCAGAUGAGAGAAAUCGGGAAUCUGACCCAAGGGUUUGCUGAGCCAGCCCUGGCCUAAAGCCAAGGAAAAGUGGCAACAGCUACUAGACCAGGAAGGUUGGGGAAAUAUAUAUAUUAUACAGGGGCUGUUCUGCCCCUGGUAUAAUGCAACAUCUGCCUUCAUGCACAGAGGAAACAAUUCAGAGAGGACAGAAGGUUCUCUGGUUUAGGACACAGCUGGAGGACACUGGACCAUGGCACCUCCCAAUGUCCAACAGCACUUAACCCCAGCCUUUCCCAUGACAUGAGGCCAAGUUUGAAAGCAAACUCGCUGGAAACAAUCACCAAUGCUUGCUAAGCUCGUGUUAAUUUGUUAAACAAACAGACAAACAAACAAACAAAGGCAACCCAAAGAACUUUCAGCCUUCUGUCCCUGCCUGACCAGCACAGAUGUAGUCACUUCCUGACAGCAAGAAGAGGCACAGAGACAUGUCCCUGCAGCAAGGCAGGUGCUAGGAAAUGGGGAGCUUUUGUCUACUUCCCUCAUGGUAAUUCACUACAGGAGCAAUUAUUUUCAGUAAAUAUGGCACAGAAAAUCCAAGUGAGGAGAAACCAGGGUUUUCUCUCUCCAGCAGCCAGGUCCAUGCAUUGCUGCACACGUGCAGCUGGCACAGAGGUGGAGCCUGCCAAUCUGCAACCAUCCCCUUUGGAGAGAGUGAUUUCCCAUUCAGGUACAAAACAGAUGCAAGAACCAGCCAGGCCAGUGCUCUUGGCUGCUCACAGAACAGCCUUUAAGGGCUGAAUGACAAGCUGUAGAGCAGAUGUUCACCCCUGGCAGCGACUCAGCCAUACUGCUCUGCAUGGUUUUGCUUUUUCAGCUCUGGCCAAAAAGGAUGCCUAUUUCCCCACACUGUGUGAUGGAGAAGAGACUGAACCUGGCUGUGGGGUAUUUUCUAACACACUUCAGCAAACUCCCCCAGUAGGAAACGGAGUGCUUUACUGGCAGUUCAACAAUGCCUUGAGCACCUCGAACACCAUCCCCUGGAUGACUGACACUGAAUCCCAGGAACAAGGCAGCCCUAACCAUCAUUGGAUGAGUCAGGCACCACUUACAAAAGGCUUUUGGAGAGUGCAAAGGCAGAUUUCUGGAGAAACUGAAAGGGGACAAAAAAGCCAGCUCUGCUGCUCUUCACACGCCCCAGCAGGCUGCAAGCACCACUUUUCAAAUAGUUUAAAAGGAAAAAAAAAAAGUGAUUAAUUUUUACUAAUAUAUGACAGUUUGAACUGGAGUAAAGUCAGAGUCACAGAACUUAUCUGACUCAGGAUACAGCAUCUUUCUUAAAUAUACACACUUGAAGAUGAAUCACACUUGUCUCAUAAGGACAAUUCCUAAAUUUGCUCUCCUGUAACUGUUCAGGGUUCCCAUUCUGCAAUAGAAGAUGAUGUCACUGUUUACAUAAACAAAGGCAAUGGUGCUCAGAUCAGAUCUAGGCAGUCUCUUUCCUCUUAAAGUUAGCAACCACGUCUACUUUCUUACAAGGCUGGGGAGUGUAAGAACUGGCCAGGGCAUAAAUAGAACCACAGACCAAAAAAAAAUGUGCAAAAGCGACCCAAAUCACAUAUUUGACACAGAUUUCUUUUGUUCUUAGAAAACUGGCCAUAUUAAAAGUGAUGUAGCUCUCAUUGCUCUCACUCUGUCCACAGUAGGAAGAUUAAACUUCUGCACAGGAGAGUUGCAACUGAAAAAUAUUGUCAUUACACUGAGCACAAAUAGGCUUUUCUUGAACAUUGAGCAUGCACGUGGCCUCCCCUCUCCCCCCAGCUUACAUUUUAUGAGAUUUUUGACAGUCAGAGAAAACUCUCCUUCCAUAUGUUGAGGAUGUUAAGAUUUCAACCUCUUUGCAGCAGGAAAAUAAAGUCAUCUUCUUUGCAGUGCCACAGCACUGAGCACACACAGAGCACUGACACAGUAACGCAUGAACUGAUCUCUGCCAUUGCGGAAAACUGCAGGGAUCCGGAGCAGGUCUUGUUCCUGUCAUGUCUGCAGAUGCUCUGUUAGGGACUCCAGGGACAUAGAGCAAUUACUAGGGUUUGUUUCUGCUUUCCAGGAGCAGUUCUGUUUAGGAGAGAAUAGAAAGGGAUUAUUUUUACCUUAUAGUUUGGACUUACAGGGUGUGAACUGAAUUUUUCUUCCCACAGAGAGACAUCAUGAACAAACUCUUCCAGUGCCCUGUAACGGGGCUGUUCCUUCUCAGCAGUGCCCAAAAGCCCAAAGGCUAAUGAGGGUGACAGGCAGGGCCCAAUUAGCAGCACAGGCACAGGGAUGGCUGCCUUUAGGCCACACACUGAGUCUAAAGGGGUUUUUUCCUUUUCUUUUGGGGGCUUUGUUGGUUUGUGGGUUUUGCUUUAAGUCUAGAAAGUUGACAUCUGCUUCUGGUAAAAUUGACAAACAAUUUUAUUUGUCAGCAACUGUAGAUUGAAACAGUACUGAGAAGUGCAUUGUCUGGGUCUGCAGGACUGUAGGAAGUACCGAUGAAGCAUUUUCCCCUGGCAUGUGUACAGAGAAAAAAACAUUUAAGUGGAGAUAAUUUUUUCCAUAUAGAUUAUGUACAUCGUUAUACACAAGUGAGAAUUAGACAAAACAAAACUAGAACAAAGAUUCUUUUAUGUUUUAAAAGGAUCUUUGUCUCUCAGCCAUAGGGAUGGCUCAAGCCAAGCUCCAUGGAUGAGACAACGAAUGAGGCAACAGAUGCAUCAAAGGCACCUCACUCACAGUACAGUUUAGCCAAGGCAAGAGCCAGACCACGCAGGGGAUGUGUUGGCACCACUGGCAUCCUUGCUACAGCAGAGAAGAUGUUCCCAGCUCUUACCUUCUCCUGAUGCAGGCAGGCUCAGGUGCACCCUCGACUGUGCCCUACACAAGUCCUGGCACUGGGGCCAGCAGAGCUGCUUUCCCCGGGGGCUCUGCCCACCCUGCAGUGGCACUAUGCCCCCAUGGCAGCGUACCCAGCUGCAUUCUGCAACCAGAUCUCCAGCAAGUCCCAUCCCACCAUGCUUCCUGCAGCUGUGACUGCUCAGACCAAAGACUGCUUCCUGGACACCUUAGUCACCAGAAGGGUGUCUCCACUUAAGAUCCCCUGGCAGCUAUUUUAUUGUUCUCCUGCCUAAUGCUGCAAACACAGCUCCAGGUCACCUCUCUGUUGCAACAGGCAGGAGAAAUCUUCUGCAUUCGGGACAAGGGAAGCCCAUGGACCUGGUUCUUAUGGUGGAAGGUGCCCUGCAGGGGUGGCAGGAAGGCUCAGGUCACAGCAGACCCGUGGGUCAGUGCCAGGAAGGGGAUAAGAAUGGAGCAGGCUUCCCAUGAGGUUCAGGCAUAGGGCAGGAAGGCAGACAUUGUCUGUGAGGCCCCUCUCCUGCACAGUGUGUUAACCAUUAAUCAGCACCUUCCCUCUCGCUGCCCCAGGGUCACACAGGGCAGCUCCCCCUGCCCCAGGCAGCAGCUCUGGGGGCUCUCCACCACCACGCUGGCUCAGGGAGGCAGGCAGCAGCCACCAGCAGAGGAUGAGGAUGCUCUUUCAAGGCUGGAAGAGUACUUUUUCCUUCUGUGGUAAAACCCAGAACAUCCUUGCCAGACCCAUUUGACCCUUCCCUUCCUGAUGUGCCCCCUAGCCCAUGCCUCUCCCUUGCAUUGCGUGGGAAUGUUCCCCAAAACACACUCUUUUCCCCUCAUUUCCUUCCUCUCAAGACACCUGGAGCUUCCUCCUGCAGGCUCCAGCCACCCCUCGUGCUGAUCCAGGCCAGGUCAGGCUUCCCAGGCCACCAGCUCAUUGUCCAGGAAACCAAAACAACCCAACACCCAGCUUGGGGCUGCAGGGGGGACAUGCUCAGAGACAACACAGCCACCAGGGCCUCUAUGCUCUGAGGAUGACAAUUUAUUUCAGCAAAACCACCCUGACAUAUCUGAGGAAAAACAGAAGUGGCAACUACCAGCAAGGACACCUCCAGGAAGGCUGUAGGGGAAGUAUUUCCCACCACAAAACAGGUUUUGAAAUGUAUUUGAAAUUUGUGAUUUGAGUCUCAAGCUGUUAGUGAAAUAUCCUUGCUCAAACAAGUCAGUUUUGCAUGCAUUAAGCAACACAGCACAGAAACAGAAGAAAAAAAAUCCUCUCCAGCUUCAAUGCCAGUUUAAAAGUUAUUGGGAGGCAGCCAAUAUAUUUGGGGAAGGUUUUUAAACACCAUCUUUCACACUAAGAUUCCUCAGCAGAGAUCUGUGCACACAGUACACAUUACAAAUGACAACUCCAAGUUCACUCUUCUAACACAUUGCAUUUUAAAAGCUUAAAAUACCUUUACCUAAAUCUCUAUCCUGUUAAAAAUGCACUGAGAGGCACAAAGCUUUAUCCCACUAAAACAGAAUGUAUGGAUAAGUGGAGUUUCUUGCUCUGCUCCACGAUCAUUUGAUUCAGGAAGCCAUGCAAACACAGCUUUGCUGGUUCAUUGAAUGUGCACUCUAAAACAGAAACUCAUCACAGAAUAUUCUGAGCUGGAAGGGACCCACAAGGAGCAUGGAAUGACCCAUACAGGGAUCAAACCCACAACCUUGUGUAACGGGCACCUGCUCUGACCAGCUGAGCUGACCUGUCCCAGAAUCAUUGCACAGUUUGGACUGAAAGGGACCUUAAAGAUAAUUUCAUUUCACCCCCCAGCCAUGGGCAGGGACACCAGCCAUUAGACCAGUGGCUCAAAGCCCCAUCCAGCCUGGCCUCAAAUACUUCCAAGGAUGGGACAUCCAAAGCUUCUCUGGACUACUUGUGCCAAGGCCUCACCACCCUCACAGGGAAGAAUUUAUUCCCAAUAUCCAACCCAAGUCCAUCUGUUAACACGCAUGUUAACUCCAGCUGAAAGCCCACGAGGCAGGCACAGCACACUGACAGCAGGAGCCAGAUGCUGCUCUUCACUGGUGGGCGUGCACAGCCUCCUCAGAUGGUACAGCCACUGCUGGGCUCAGCUCUCUCCCGCUCUGGACACUGGCAGACACUGAGGUGCAAUCACCUGUGAAGCACAAUCCACACCACAGCAAACCACCUCAGCCUGGGACAGCAGAGAGCAGCACAGGGCUCUCAGCUGGAGGGAAGCAAGGCCAUUACAUGUGCCUGGGUCUGCAGCCAUCACCCAUGGAAAGAGGCCACCUCACCCUGAGAGCUCCAUAAACACAGCGCUGAGCCUGAGCUGCCUUUGAGCAGGUGAGAUACUGCAUGCAGGACUAGGCAGCCACAGAUUGCCCAAGGAAGGCCUUUCUCACAUUUCAGUCAGCUUCUUUUUAUGGCUUUUCAGCUUUCAUUAGUGAGAAGCAGGAAGAGUGAAGUGGAGAUGUCCCCAGCCAGGGCUAACAGGAUGUGACUCUGCCCUGAGUCAUCUUCCUCUUUCUCUGCAGUGGAGAUGGCUGCUCACACCUGGGUCAUGGACACCUAUGGCCACACUCAUCAGGACAAAUCCACUGCUUCCCAAACUCACACUUCAGAGGUUGCAGGCAGCAACCUUCACAUCACACAGUUAGAACUUGAUAUUUUCAGAGUAUCUUCACAACCAAAAGGACCAAAGAACUCCAAAAUGUGCUCAAAAUCUAACAAAUUUUUAAGUUCAAAGCAGUUUUCUUAUGAAGUGUCUGAGCUAGCGGAUCACACUGAGGUCUUACUUAAGUCCAAGAAAUUAAAACAUUAAGCCACACAGCUGCAGAAUAUGACUAAAUACGCAAUUAUUGUUCUCUAUUUUACAUCUGAAAACUUAUCAUAUUUGAAUAAUCUCUAGUGAAAUGUAUUUCAUGGGAACUGGAAACAAUUUGCAUUAAAUGAACCAAAUGAACACCACUGUUAAUGAGUCCACAUGCACACGAGCAGAACUGAGGUGCCUCAGCUGAGAAUUAUCUCUGCCAAUACUGUGGCUCAUCUUCCAUCCUGACAAUCUUACAACAAAGAUUUCCCAGAUACAUUUCCCUGCCCAUCUAAGGCAGGCAUGCAGUAGCAGGGACUUCUCACAGACUCACAUUCCAAGGAGAUGCAACAUCCUACACAUCUGAC